AUUUCAGGCUUCGGCAACGACGAGCAUGUCCAAGCUAGACACCAGAAGAGUAUUGCAUACUCAGCUACUCCAAUCGUUUGGGCCUUUGGGAAUGGUGGACUCGAUUGCUGAAUCAAUGGUGCCAUGUCAUGCCCCCUAUAUUACCUUUGCCCAAAUCAAAGUGCAUAUAGUUCCACGAGGUUUGUUGUAAUACAAUACAAGACUUUUGGGCUACGCUGCAUUCCUAGAAGAUGCUACUUUGAUAUAUUCUGCAGCAUUUAGAGAAGGAAAAGGAUAAAGGACAUGCUCUGGCCUUAUAGAAUCUGGUAUCCAACCAAAGUAUUUUACCCUCGCCCUUGUCUCUCCUCCUCAAGCGACGUCGUUUUUGGGGUGGCGCUGGGCCAGAGGCGGAAGUGCAGCAAGGGGCGGCGUUGGGCCGUAGGUGGAGGAGCAGCGAGAGGCGGCUCUUGGGGCGGCGCUGUGUGAAGGAGGUGCCGGGGGAGGCCGGCUGGUGCGGGCCGCGCUCCCUCGCCCAUGCCCUCGCUCGUCGUCUUCCUGGUUGCCUCUUCCCCAACCUUAGGCUAUAAGCAGAGCAAGGAAUUGAUUGGUAAAUGGGGUCGGCUGACGAAGGUGACUACCAGAGUCCGCCGAAGCAGACCUCAUACGCCACUGAAUGCAUUCUGCAAUUUGUCCUCCCAAGAUUGAUCUUCUGGAAUCCACUACUGCAGUGAGCUUUGAGAAAGUGGAUUCAAGCAAACUUUCAGAGACAAAGUUGAUCUUGCAGCAGCUCCACUCAACUCAUUCCCCUACAACAUUGGAUAGGUGUUUUCUCCAGAUAUUAUAGGUGACAGUUGCAGAGUUUGAAGACAUGGAGGUUCUGCUCGACAAGCUCUUUGUGCCCAAGCUCGAAAGUGCUUUAUAUUGCAACCAGGUGAUGUUUUGUAACCUGCCAAUAUCCGCUCCUAAAUUGUCGCUUCUUGUUAGGUAUUUAGAAGUGUUAGUUAUUGUUGUCCUCAGUUAGCACGUACAAAACGGUGCAUCAUUUAUGGGUUAAUGUUUUACAUUCCAUUAAAAGAUACUGUGAGGUUUCCAUUAUUCAAGCUUUUUAUAAAAGCUUUGCUUUUGAAGAUAUUGAACUUGGCUCAGGUUUACUUCAAAUUUCUAAAAGGUGUUGUGGUUUUUAGCAAUGAUUUUUUCUCUCUUAUUAUAAAUAGACGGAUUUUCCUUUUAAAAGAAUGCAUAGCUUUUCUAUCAUUCUAUUUGUUUCUGAAUCUGAAUCAUUUAAAUAAUAUCGAUAAUCACACUGAAUUUUCCUGGCAAUCGAAGUUAUCUUUCAUGUGCCAACUUUAGGAUGCAGGAAGUUCCGUCAAGCAACUGUGCUUUACUCAUAAAAAAAUAAGUACAUAAAUUGAUUAUUGAUUGAAGACAUGGAGGUUCUGCUCGACAAGCUCUUUGUGCCCAAGCUCGAAAGUGCUUUAUAUUGCAACCAGGGGCAGCAGGGCUCACGAUGCAAGUAUUCAAUUCUGUAUAUGGAUAAGGCUGCACCACAAAAGAUUCACUUUGACGGUGGAGAAGGGGUGAACUGUUGAUCCAUACAUUGUCCCCAAAGUUAUUUACUGGCUGCAAUUUUAUUUUGUAGUUAUAUUUGCAAAUUUGUGUGGCGGGCAACAUAUGAGAGGCUGCUGACAACAAGAAUCAAGUUGGUCCAUGUUUUAUUUAAAUGCAUUUGACACUGUUGUCAUACUAAGAACAAAAUCAUUUUUCAUGACAUUGUUGUCAUUCAAACGUCCUCGGUGGUGGUAAAUAAGCUGUCGAGCAGUUUUGAUUGA